UACGAAGGGGGCUAGCGUUGCUCGGAUUGACGGGGCGUAAAGGGCGCGUAGGCGGUUCGUACAGUCAGACGUGAAAUUCCUGGGCUCAACCUGGGGGCUGCGUUUGAUACGUGCGGGCUUGAGUGCGGAAGAGGGUCGUGGAAUUCCCAGUGUAGAGGUGAAAUUCGUAGAUAUUGGGAAGAACACCGGUGGCGAAGGCGGCGACCUGGUCCGAUACUGACGCUGAGGCGCGAAAGCGUGGGGAGCAAACAGG
rnacentral:rRNA from 1 species